rnacentral:rRNA from 1 species
GAUUGGAGCGCCCGAUAUCAUAUUAUCUAUGUGGGGGGGUAAAAUCCCCCCAAGGCGACUAUCUGUAUGUGGUCAGAGAAGACCACCCCCCACUGUGGAACUGACACACGGCCCACACUCCUACGGGAGGCAGCAGUGGGGAAUUUUGGACAGUGGGCGCAACCCUGAUCCCCCUUUGCCGCGUGCGAGAAGAGCGCCUUCGGGGUGUAAAGUGCUUUUGUACAGAACAAAACGGU